UACCACUAGGCUUGUGGUGUCUCUGAUGCCUCUUUGCUUUGCUUUCUCUUAAACUGUUGGCGAGUGAAAGAAGAAAUUAAACUAUGAUAAUUUGGCAUCCUGACUUUUGCGAGACUGUUCUUCCACUCCAUUCGUGAUUUCUGAUCUCCUCUGGGGUUCCUUUUAGCCCUGGCUCGGGGAGGGAGGAGCAGGUGCAGAAACGGCUGAAACCCCCGAACGCUGCCUGGAAAGAGGGAAAAGUAACCCCUCAUCUUUGUGACUAGUCGACUUGUUGGCCUCGACUACAGUUUUGAAGUAUUUAAGGACCAUUUGUUUCCAAAGUACCUUAUAUUCAGCAAAUCGAUGUUGAGUUCCUCCCUGGUACUAAACAUUGUAUGCCAUGAACAAAAAGGAAAGAGGAAGUUCCCAGAGUCCAUGAACUAAAAAAUCUGGUGCAGAUGAAGAUAUGAGAACUCGUAACUGUAAUGCAGUAAAAUUACUGCUGUAAUGGACCCUGGCCAAGGAGAGCCAGAAACACUGCUGAACUUGAUAUAGUACAUUAAAAUAUGAUUAUUUGAUCUUCCCAAACCAAAAUGAGGAAAGAAUCAGUGACGUGCACAAUAUAAUUGUUAAAGCAUGACUGUAAAGAUUUUAAAUAGUAGCCAGAGAAAUCCUCUGGAAACGUAAAUCCUAAAAUUUAAAAAGUUUCGACUCUUUUUAGUCUAAAAUUUUACUAUAUGCAGAGUCAAAGUCAAAGACCAUGCAGUCGCCCAAGCCCCUCCAUCGUGUGUCUCCUACCACCCCUGGCUCUCCCACCUUUCCUAAGUCGUAACCUCUUGCCCACUUUGCUCCAGCAGAGAACCUCCUUGCCUUUUGGAGAACCAUCACGUGGCCCUGGCACUUGCCAUUCUUCUCUGCUGAAAACAGAAAACAGCAGCCCCCAACCAGAAUCCAGUCCAGAUACACACGUGCCCCCUUCCCCUCAUGUCUCUCAGGUCUCUGAUCAGAGGUCACCUUAUCGAUGAGUCAGGUCUUGAUAACCAUACUUACAUUGCCUCCCUAUCUCCUUUUCCUGCAUUAUUUUUCUCCUCCGCCCUUACCACAGAUGGUACUCUAAGUAACCCAUUGGUCCAUCUUGUUCCACGUCCAUUUGUUUCUACCAGAACGUAAACUCCAUAAGGACAGGGAUUUUUGUCUAACAUUUUUAUUGAUGCAUUCCCAGCACCUAGACCCUCGCGUGCCUUAUUUAUUGAACAAAUGAUGGACUAAAUAUAAAUUUCCUGGCACCAAAGAUACGGUGUUCUACUUUGGUGGUGGUGUUGUUUUUCGAUUUUUUAAAAUAAAGUAGAAAUUUUCAAAUUUA